rnacentral:rRNA from 1 species
AGCGAACGCUGGCGGCGUGCCUAACACAUGCAAGUCGAACGUGAACGGCUUCGGCCUAGUAAAGUGGCGUACGGGUGAGUAACGCGUAGGUAAUCUACCCCAGAGUCUGGAAUAACCUGCCGAAAGGCGGGCUAAUACUAGAUAGAGCGACGGAAUCCGUAAUUGGGUUUUUCGGGAAAGGGAGCUGGUAACGGCCCUCGCUUUGGGAUGAGCCUGCGUCUCAUUAGCUAGUUGGUAAGGUAAUGGCUUACCAAGGCUUUGAUGGGUAGCUGGUCUGAGAGGAUGAUCAGCCACACUGGAACUGAAACACGGUCCAGACUCCUACGGGAGGCAGCAGUGGGGAAUCUUGCGCAAUGGACGAAAGUCUGACGCAGCCACGCCGCGUGAGUGAAGAAGGCCUUCGGGUUGUAAAGCUCUGUCGGGCGAGACGAAAACCUAUUCGGUGAAUAGCCGAGUAGACUGACGGUACCGCCAAAGGAAGCACCGGCUAACUUCGUGCCAGCAGCCGCAGUAAAAC